rnacentral:rRNA from 1 species
CCGGAAUCAUUGGGUUUAAAGGGUCCGUAGGUGGAUAAUUAAGUCAGAGGUGAAAGUCUGCAGCUCAACUGUAGAAUUGCCUUUGAUACUGGUUAUCUUGAAUUAUUAUGAAGUAGUUAGAAUAUGUAGUGUAGCGGUGAAAUGCAUAGAUAUUACAUAGAAUACCAAUUGCGAAGGCAGAUUACUAAUAAUAUAUUGACACUGAUGGACGAAAGCGUAGGUAGCGAACGGGAUUAGAUACCCCGGUAGUCUACGCCGUAAACGAUGGAUACUAGCUGUUCGACUUCGGUUGAGUGGCUAAGCGAAAGUGAUAAGUAUCCCACCUGGGGAGUACGUUCGCAAGAAUGAAACUCAAAGGAAUUGACGGGGGCCCGCACAAGCGGUGGAGCAUGUGGUUUAAUUCGAUGAUACGCGAGGAACCUUACCAGGGCUUAAAUGCAUAUUGACAGGGUCAGAGAUGACUUUUCCUUCGGGCAAUUUGCAAGGUGCUGCAUGGUU